CUGUUGGGAAUCAGUCCCAUGGCAGGGUAGCCAAGCCCGGACGGGAUAAACGCUGAAGGCAUCUAAGCGUGAAGCCCCCCUCAAGAUGAGAUAUCCAUGCAGGAGAAAUCCUGGAAAGACCCCUUGGAGAGCACGAGGUGGAUAGGGCUGGGGUGCAAGUGCAGCAAUGUACUGAGCUGACAGCUACUAAUCGGUCGGGAGCUUAACCAG
rnacentral:rRNA from 1 species